rnacentral:rRNA from 1 species
AUUGAACGCUGGCGGCAGGCCUAACACAUGCAAGUCGAACGAGUGGCGGACGGGUGAGUAAUGUCUGGGAAACUGCCCGAUGGAGGGGGAUAACUACUGGAAACGGUAGCUAAUACCGCAUACCAUCGGAUGUGCCCAGAUGGGAUUAGCUAGUAGGUGGGGUAACGGCUCACCUAGGCGACGAUCCCUAGCUGGUCUGAGAGGAUGACCAGCCACACUGGAAUUGAGCAACGGUCCAGACUCCUACGGGAGGCAGAAGUGGGAAAUAUUGCCCAAUGGGCGAAAGCCUGAUGCAGCCAUGCGGCGUGUAUGAAGAGGGCCUUCGGGUUGUAAAGUACUUUCGGCGAGGAGGCGUUACUCGCAGAAGAAGCACCGGCUAACUCCGUGCCAGCCGCGGCGUAAUUC